GACGAACGCUGGUGGCGUGCUUAACACAUGCAAGUCGAGCGGUAAGGCCCUUUCGGGGGUACACGAGCGGCGAACGGGUGAGUAACACGUGGGUGACCUGCCCUCAGCUCUGGGAUAAGCCUGGGAAACCGGGUCUAAUACUGGAUAUGACUCCAUGACGCAUGUUGUGGGGUGGAAAGCCUUGUGCGGCUGAGGAUGGGCCCGCGGCCUAUCAGCUUGUUGGUGGGGUGANGGCCUACCAAGGCGACGACGGGUAGCCGGCCUGAGAGGGCGACCGGCCACACUGGGACUGAGACACGGCCCAGACUCCUACGGGAGGCAGCAGUGGGGAAUCUUGCGCAAUGGGCGAAAGCCUGACGCAGCGACGCCGCGUGAGGGAUGACGGCCU
rnacentral:rRNA from 1 species